AUUGAACGCUGGCGGCAUGCCUUACACAUGCAAGUCGAACGGUAACGGGCCUUCGGGCGCCGACGAGUGGCGAACGGGUGAGUAAUGCAUCGGAACGUACCUUUCAGUGGGGGAUAACGUAGCGAAAGUUACGCUAAUACCGCAUAUUCUGUGAGCAGGAAAGCAGGGGAUCGCAAGACCUUGCGCUGAUUGAGCGGCCGAUGUCAGAUUAGCUAGUUGGUGAGGUAAAGGCUCACCAAGGCGACGAUCUGUAGCGGGUCUGAGAGGAUGAUCCGCCACACUGGAACUGAGACACGGUCCAGACUCCUACGGGAGGCAGCAGUGGGGAAUUUUGGACAAUGGGGGCAACCCUGAUCCAGCCAUGCCGCGUGAGUGAAGAAGGCCUUCGGGUUGUAAAGCUCUUCCGGCCGGGAAGAAAUCGUAUGGGCUAAUACCCUGUGCGGAUGACGGUACCGACAUAAGAAGCACCGGCCAACUACGUGCCAGCCGCCGCAGUAAAAC
rnacentral:rRNA from 1 species